CAGAAUAAUUGAGAGAACAUAAAGUAAAAGUCACUAUUCAAUGAUACUAUUACUACCUGUCUGAGGCUAAUACACUUGAUAUAUUUUGUCUUUUUCUGUGAGUGAACAUCAGGAAGCAAGAUCCUAUCAUACAUAUAUGAUUUCUGUUAUCAAAGCCUAUGUCCAUGCACCUGCAACCUUUUCACCUGAAACAUGAAGUCAUAUGACCUUCGUUGAAUGACUGCCAAUGGUUGGUGUAUUCACUUUUAAUCCAGGUGUGUAAUUAAUGGGUCAUGUUGUGUCAUGUUGGUGUAAGGUUCCCAUACAUGACCAAGUUAGGGAGCUUAGAUUUCCAACCGGGCCAAAUCCUUGUGGAAUCAUAAAAGGGUUAGGUUACGAAGGCCUGUUGUUGAUAACUACUGGAAAGUUAACCUUAAAAUAUUGAUUUCAAGGUUAAAUUUGAGGUUAAAGCCCCCCUCCACUUUUUCCUUUUGUCCCUACAGUUAGCUGUUUGGGCUCCAUUGUGCAGAAUAGGAUAUGUGCAGAGUUUGACAUCUUUUGAAAGUUGAAAGUUGCUCUGUGCUCAGUGAAAAUCAAUUUUAAGGAGGCGGGCCUACAAGCAUGAUUUGUGACAUCACAAAUGGUGUGUCAGUCAAUCCUGGUCCAGUAUGCAAUUUGCAUGUGUGAUGUAGAAACCUGAUGCUGUCAGUGCACAUACACUGAGAAUGGACUCUACAUCUCUAGAGACUCAUUAUUGUUCCAGGCAGACUAUUUGUGUAUAUGUCUUAUUAACUGUCUGGAGGGGAUCUUCAAAUUUUUAUCUUGUACAUCUUGAAAACAGCAUGAAUUAUAUACGCUGACCCCCAUUCCCAGUGCUUUAGUUGCUAACUGUGUCAGAAUGCAUGAAAAUGUUAUAUCCAACUUUCUAUCGUAUGUCAGCUUUAACCUUGAAGUGGCUACGCACCCACAGUCCACCUACGCAUGUGUUUUCACUUAUGUUGCCUGAUUAUACCGCUCUAGACUGUGUGGGUGUGUACAAACUACAUUUGAUUGACAUCUCCCUCACCCUCCUGUUACUGUGCUUGCACCGUUGAGACAACUUAUCCUGUUACCAUUCUUUUUCCCACAUACUGUAGACCUUUAUCACGGCAGACAUUUUGACUUGUCAUAACAGGAAAUAUAUCAGUGUACCACAUUUCACUAAGGAUGGCUCAGUUCCAUCAAGAAUCCAGUCAGCCCUGACAGUACCAGGACCCUGAAACUGGCUCACCUGAAUGGAAUGCAGUCAUUAUUAAUGUUUUUAAUUCCAGCUGUAUUAACCUACUAUGAAAAAAUUUAUAAAAAAGGUCAACAUACAUACAUACUACCUGCUGAAUAUAAACAGUAGGGCUAUAGACCUGUUCUACUUACCUAAUUUUAAUGUUUAAGGUUUUCUCUUACAUUCCCUUCAGCACUCACUGUGAUCCCUCUACAUCUCCUGUGUGUGUUUGCUUUGCCUUUAUCCCAAGAGGAGGAAGACAAAAUACACAAAUCAUUUUGCUAAGUGGAGUGGAGUGCCGCAGGGAUGACGUACUUGUGUAGGCCAACCCAAAAGUUAGCACCGCCCUGGUUCCUUCUACAAAAAGCCAGAGGGAUUUUGGACUGCAUGUUCCGCAAGAGAUUCUUUACAAAUACGGACAAGUGUUAGGAUUUAUGAUUUUUGAACCGUAAAUGCAAUCGCUAGAAGUAAAAAGAAACUAAAUACAGCACAGUCGCAUGAUUUGAACCUCACCACUGCUAAACUUCCAAGUGUUCCGAGUACAAACACAACAAGGCUGUAAGGGACACUAGUGAAUAGAUCAGUCUCUGUGUUUGGAGCGCUGACAUUUAAUGUCACUAAUAGUAGUAGUAGUGUAGUGUCUCAUUUAGCCAGUUGUUAGCAACUGCCUUUGUAAAGACACAUAAAAGCUUUCAAAUUUACAAGUGAGUUAUUUACCAAAAGGUUUUAUAUCGUAGAACAAAACGUAAAAAUCUCUUAAGCUUGUGGUAACCCCAGAAUUUAUCCUAGGUAUCCAACCAAAAACGCAUUCAGAAAACCCUUUGACUUCAACUUGAGGGAACCGGAGGUGGAUAAAUGCUCACUCUUUCUGGGUUUUAGGAAUCCUGCAGUAUUCUGUAUUACAGCGAAAUAAUACUUUAGUUUUGUUUUGUUAUUACAAGCUUCAUUUUACAAGUAUUUUAUUGUUUUAGGUGGUCUAACUGUACACGCGGCUGGUUAAUUAGCUAGAAGUUUAGCUAAUAUUUUAGCCUAGCUAAUAAAGCUACAUUUUAAACAUCACAUAUUCUUUUCUGCAUAGUACGUAGCAAAUAGCAUGCUGCCUUCAGAACAAUCUAGUGAAUACAAAGUCUCGCAAAAUGACUUAGCUACUUUACUCCUCAGACACUCUGCAUCACAGUAAUUCUGAAUCAUCACAUUAAAGCAGCCAAAAGCCUUAAAAGUCAUUAAAUCCCUUAAUUCAUAAUUUUGACAGAUGAGCCUUAAAAGUCAUUGUUAAACCAAUUCAUGUUGGCUUGGGAGCAGCUGCAUGUGUAAUGUAUCUGAGCACAGGCUGUGAUUAAUGUGCUGCUGUUUCCUCUGGGUGCAAACAUACACCUGUUUCUAUUUUAUUACAUUGAUCUAUGAGAGAUCAAUGAAGGCAAGGGAACAAUUGCAGACAAGUAGAGGAGACACACUCAGACCUUUGGGACAGCCCCUAGAGGUCGCGCACUUGUUUGUGUGUAUGUGCGUAUGUGUGCGGACAUGUUUUCCUUUGCAGAAAUCCCAGGAGAGCACACCAGGCUUUCCCUUCUCUCGCUAAUCAAUAGCGUAUAUUUGUAUCAUGAAACCUGAGCCUCCUGGAACAUACGGCUAAGAAGUGUUUCAUUUAGAAAAUCAAGUAAAAUAAAAUGUUUCAUAUAAUGUAAUCACUGUCCUUUUUGGUUCUUUCUAUCACUAAUAACACGGUAAGGGAGACCCUGUAACCAGGCCAUGGAAGUGUUUUCAUUUGUUGUUACUUACUCAAUUCCUCAAGGCUCAUUUUCUAGAAAAAACUUUAACAACGAAAAUGUACUCCAGGCCUUAUGAUUGACAGGUGAUCUCCAAUGACUUUAACACCAAGCGACUCAUGGGAUACCGCCUUAAAAUGUCUGCGGUUACAGCCGCAAUCAUCCUUCUUCCUUUCUCCCUGCCUGCCAAUCUGUCUUGUUUGCCUUUCUUUCCAUCCAUCCAUCGUCUCAUUUCCCUGUCUUUUCUCUUUGCUGUACCUGAGCUGAAUUAUGAUCUGUAGUCUUCCCUGAUACAUUGUGAUUGAUUGGGCUUUCUAGCUAACUAAUGAAUUGGCCCCUCAAGGACAUGUAGCGGGCCAGCUUUGGUAUUAAUGUGGACUCUGCUGAAGGCAGCUCAAAGACUCCUGACACCACAGAUUUAGCGCUUACAGUGUUUAUUUGGAUUUGGCUUUUGCAGGGGGUUUGUUGGGAUUUAAUUUUUAAAUAGCUACCAAUUGCAUUUCUAAUAGCUUUUUGCAUAUUGUCUCAUAGUCAUAUGCAGCAGGGAAAUGAUGGUCCUUCUUUUUUUGUGAUGACAUGGCAAAUGAUGUUUUAAUACACAGGUAAUAGAACAGUAGUCAUCAGUGAAGCAUUGGGUGGAACAUCUUAGUUAGACAAUCAUUUAAAAUAUGGAUUUUGUUUUCUCUCUUAAAUCGUAAAAUGGUUGCUGUGUUGUGUGUAUAUGUACUUAAAGCUGUACUCAUCAAUAUUUUCAUAUUAAAAAGGGAUUAAAUGACUUAUGUGCAAAGUGAAAGGUGUCCUUCAUAAUGACGGACACACAGGGAAUCAUCCGCUCUCCAGAUCCCCUCAGCUCUACGGAGUUUUUUGGCAUCUUUCGGGUCAUUGUUUUAUUCUUACGGCCCAAAACUUCCUGUUUGGCUACCUGCUCUCUGAUAAACAGCCAGAUAUUUCCCACAAGAGUUGGUGGAGACCAAAAACGAACACUACUGGCAAACAUGUAUCUAUGAUCCUUUGAUCAUGAAGGUGACACUACUCUAUGAGUACAGUAAAUAGGCUAUGAUAUAGUAGUAUAAUAAUAAUGAGUAUAUAUAGUAUUGAGUAUAAUGAGUAUAUAUACUAUACAGUUUAUGAUAUUUAAUAUUCAAGACAAAACUGACAAAGAGCGGGAUUGAGAGAAAAAAGGCACAAUUAUAAAGCCGUCUGCUACUUCAGCACCACGGACAGUGGCAGGGAUUGAUCAGUACACAGCAGUUAGUUACUGAUACCUCAGAGCCAUGGCCGGUGCCACAGAUUCUAACGUGCACAAACCUCACUCAAAUAAAGGAUCAAUGAUUAAGACAGACUAGACAGAAAUAUUAAACUAAACAACCCCACUGCCCCUGCACUCUGUCUGCUGCUAGGGGGUCUUUUUGCAAACAAGGGAAAUGGUAUCCCCUCGUAUCCCCACUCAGUUCACCUGCUGGCUAAGAGGAGAGUGAAUAUUGGACUAACAUUCAUCAGAUGGCCAGAAACAUAACUUGAGAUGAAUGAUGAAUUAAUUUUGCUCCAUGUCUGCUGGAUAUUUAUAUAGGCAAUUGUUUGCUAACAAAAUUAAAUUAUGUGAUAUGUCUGUAGCUUCACAUGGCCAGAAAAUAUGAAUGCAGCAUUAAAUGACUAAAGUGACUGUUGUUUGUAACUACAUGAUCCAUAUUAGCAUGAGUUAUGAGCCUCAUCUGUAAUUUUAAUGGUUAACAAAACUAUAGAAAACAUUGGUUUGCCCCUUUUUUUUGGCAUUGACCAUUGCUUUGAAUGGAUAAAAUAACACCACUGUCAGCAGAUAACAUCAGCUAAUUCAUUCCAUAACAGCUUCUCAACAAAAAGUGAGAAGAUUUUGGGUUUUAAAUAAUGUUUAACUUAAGUUACUUAUGAAUGGUGAAAGCCUAUUAUAUAUAUUUAGAUUAAUAAAGGAUUCAAAAGGAAAAUGCUCUCAAAGCCUAAUCCUAAUUCUGGUGUUUUUUAUCCCAUGGCUUAUAUAUGGCCCAUAAUAUCCAAAUCAACUCCUGCCAGUCACAAGUUUAGUUUGUUUGGUUUGACAUGAUUUGAAAUGAAAAAUAAGUGAGUCACUGUAAUAUUAUUCCAGUGUUGAAUUGUGCCUUCCCGAACUGUCUAUUUUGUCCAGUACUUCUGUGAUGCAUCAAAAUAUUUUAUGCAUUCAUCAUCUGCUUCUAUGUGUUUAUCUCAUUUCCAGAGCGCAAACUGAAUCAGCACCUGCUGUGAUGGUUGGUCAUGCAAAAACAAGCGUGUAGGUCCAUAAAUACUAUGAGGAGCGGAUGAAUUUCAGACAUUUUAAUGGAGCUUUUACAGUUGAUGUGAGAACACAUUUUGAUCUGCUGUGUUUGAACACAUACAUCUUAUUGGUGUGCCUUUCAUCAUUUCAAGGAGGUUUGUCUUUGUUUUGUGUCUAAUAACAGCAUGAUCAUGGUAAAUACUAAUAUUGAUUCCCCCUGCAUCAUAGGAUGCAAACCUUUUUAUGAUAAAAAAAAGAAAUCACAUUUAUCAACACCCAUAGAGGCUACAUAUUGGUGACACAUUUUUCAAGCCAUGAAGUGGAAUAUGUAUCUGUGGUGUCCGCUAUUGAGCAGAUGGAGGCAAAUCACGGUGGACAUCAAUGUCAACGUGCAUCUUCUUUAAAGUGAGAGGUCAGUCUGUCAGUCUCUGUGCAUGUUUCACAAUUCCAUAUGAAGCCGAGGAGAGGGCAUGUUUGUCAUUGAAAGUUUGCAGCACCGUCAAUAUUUGUAUCUGCUCUCUGUCUAUUCCAUCCUUGUUUGGUUUUCAUAUUCUGAAUGUCAUAGUAAUAUUGCCAAGUUUGACGAUAUUGAUUUGUGCAGGGAAAUGUGGCAAACAAUAUGGUUAUAUGGGCCUAGAGUAUCAGCACAACUGCUAAUUCAACCCCCAGCUUUUUUUUUCAAUAUCUGUGGUAUAUCAUGGAAUGCCAGAUUCACGGUAUAUGCAAAUACAUUGGACAAAAAUGUUAUUGUUUUACAGAUUCAAAUCCAUAUCACCAGAAUAUUUAACCUUUAUUUAAUCAGCUCGUCUCACUGAGAUCAAUGUCUCUUUUGCAAGAGAGACGUGAGUACCAGAGUAACAGAAAGAAAGAAAAGCAAACACAGUCAGCCGUAGCAAAAGCACAAACAGCAUCAGAUACAAUCACACACAUCUCGAAUGUAGCCUAUGUUUACAUAUUUGUCAGAGCUACCUAUGUAGUCCUGAUCUCAGAAAUACCCAGAUUCAAACACUUGAGGUUCCUGGGGCAAAAAUGAGCUGUGAUGUUAGCACAGUGCUAAUACUAGCUUCUGACAUUGUGCCUUUGGUCAAAACGGGUCCUCAAAAUUGGGCAAUACUACAGGACACCAUUUAAAGACCUUGUUAUGGUGGAUAUUCCACAAAUGCUACACAGAGCAAACUAGGGCUUUUGGUGCCCCUGAGGGUCAGGGACUGUGGGCUAGUUGCCCAAUUUGACAGAUUGAUAAUCCAGCCUUGCAGAUACCCAUAUUAAAACCGCAUUGGAUAAAUUCAAAUACAUUGGGCUUAAGAGGGAAAACUGCUCAAUUCAAAAGUGGAUCUUCUUCUUAAAUGAGGCUUGCUUAUGAACUGAUUGGUGUAUCUUGUUAAUGGAAGCAAUAUAUGAACAGUUCUGGUACAAACAAAAAGGUGGUGGGGGUCAAAGCAAGAUUGUGUUGUUCUCAUUAAUGGGAAAGAUGCUGCAAACAUUUCACUGCACUGGGGACUAUUCACAGUCUAGGUUUUAACCUAUGAUGUCAGACAGGUCAGAGACAUUGCCUGACUUGAGUCCAAUUUAGGUUAAUCUCUUAAAAUUGCACUGGUUAUCCUGACAACAUUGACUAAGUUUUUAUCAGGGCACCUCAGCGAGGAGCAAACCUGUGAACACCGUGCCACAGAUCACUCUGCUGUUAUCGAGUGCCCCUUUCAUUGCACACAGUUUGCCUUUCCACUCACAAGAUGUGUUUUGCAUUGUGCUGCAUUAUGUAACGUGUCUCAGUAAACACAACAGUUACCAGAACUAGUUCCAGAGUGUAGGGAAUACAGUGUAUGUUGUUUGCCCCAAAGCACUGCUGUUUGUUCAGUCAGUCAUACAUUAACGUAGCCACUAGGAUCUUACUAACUGCGAUGGAUAACAUUUAUGUUGUUAGAUACAUUUUAAUCCGCUGGUUUGUGUCUGGUGAUGUAAUGACUUCUGUUUUGUGUGUGUGUGUGUGUGUGUGUGUGUGUGUGUGUGUGUGUGUGUGUGUGUGUGUGUGUGUGUGUGUGUGUGUGAGAGAGAGAGAAUAAAUACCUUUGCUCAUUUGCCAGUAUCAAUACUGGCCUUUUCAGCAUUCAAACCCAGAAAAAAACAUGAAAUAAGACCAAUGUGUGUAUCUGUGUGUGUGUGUGUGUGUGUGUGUGUGUGUGUGUGUGUGUGUGUGAUAACCACAGUGUUUCCUUACCUGCAGUGCUUUCAUGCUCUCAUAUUACGAGUUCUCUAUCACUUAUCUCUCUUUCUCUCUCUCCAACACCUCCUCUCUCCUUCUCUCUCUCUCUCUCUCUCUCUCUCUCUCUCUCUCUCUGUCACUCUCUCUCUCUCUCUUGCUUGCCAAGCCAGCCGGUGUUGACGAUGCACUAGCUGUUGAAAGAGAACGAGUGUGUGUGUGUGUGUGUGUGUGUGCUGUUGACGGAGCUGAGAGAUUUAAUUGACACCCACAGAGAAAAUUAUACAAGCUUCCAAAUGCUGUGUGUGUAUGUUUAAUGUUUUUCUGCAUCUAUGUGUGUGUUUUUAUGCUCAUGCCCACCCGUGAAAGCUGUGCGCAUGAGAACAGGGACUCUUGUGUGCAUGGAACUGUUUUUCUCUGUGUUUCAUAGAGGCAGUUCACAUUACCGUUUCACUGCUGUCCUCCAAUGCUCCUCUUAUUCUCUCUUCCCCUCCUUUCUUCCAUCUUUCAUUCUCAUUCAUUCAGUAUUCUCUUUCUCUUGUAUCCCCGUAGCUCAUCCUCUGAUGUGCUGUAUAAUGACGAUCUUUAAUCUAUUGUCUUUUUACAACAUGAUGUAAUCCAAACACACGGAAUUACAACAUAUCCUGAAAGCUGUUAUCUUUCUCCUGUCUGUGAUUUAAUAUGAAUUUGCAUCCUCCAUUGGUUGUGCUUAUCUUUUAACCGUAGGCUCAUGGUGGAUGAAUUAGAACACAGCAUAAAAAAAUCCCCAUGAGAUAUACAUCAUUUGAAUUUUUAACUUAGAGGACCAGUGAGUAGAAUUUAGAUUGCAACUAACUGAACACCACUCGCAUCUGUGUUUGACAACCAGGGAAUGAGAACGGCCUGAAAUGCAUUGGAUAAACUACGGUGGCCGCAAAACUCACCAACAAUGUGAAAAAACAUGGUGGUUCAACAUGGUGGACUCCAUGGAAGAAACCGGUGUCGUCUUAGAUAAAAACAGCUCAUUCUAAGGUAACAAAAACAAAGUGUUGCACAUAGUGACAAUCCCACAGAGAGGUAACAUUUGACUCUACAGAUCUAAAAAAGCAUUUUAACAUCUUUUAUGUUCUUCUAUCUUAAGUGCAUUGUCUUGGUUUUGAAGGCUUGCAACUUUACUGUUUCAGUUUCCAGUAGCAACAGGCAGCUGUUUUUAGCAAAAAAGCUCCAAUAAACCCACUGUGGGACUAACUUGUGAACAUACCAAAGCAGCUAAAGAGACAGACAUUUCUCAAAACUAAAUGUUAUAAUGGAAAACUGACCCAGGAUCUGCCAUAAAUGAUUUCAUCACAUCUGCUGUGAUCCCAUUAGACAGCCACUGUCACUGCUGUGAGGUUCGUUUUACAUACAUGGAUACAGUUAUACUCACAUGUUUGAUGUAUUAAAUAAUUAAUGAGGGGAAAAUAGAAAUAGGCAAGUAAAAUACACAAAUACCUCAAAAAUGUAUGUAAUUUUACAGAAACCUAAAUGAAAUUGAAUCCUACGUAGAUUACACCUUGGAAAAUAGCAAAAUAUAAUCCCUUUGAGAGAUUGUUUUCCUCUUUUUCCUGUGCACACAGUGCUGGAGCAUGUGCUUCUGGAAUGUAUAUUACAAGUAUCUGAUCUAUGCACACAUACAUCUACAUAUCCAUUAGCUACAUAUGCAGAUCAUUGUAGACAGAGAUCAUAUACAGUCAAACAUAGCGUAUGUUUAAUCCCCCUUUUUAUCUAUCUCUCUGCUGCCCUGUUGCCUUUUACAGCCCCAGGAAAGCAGUUUCAUGCAUGAUAAAUUUUACAUCAUAGUCUGUGUUUUUUUUUUCGUGCUGGAAUAUGCAGAUGAUGUGGCAAAAUCAAUGAGCGUAUGACGUUAGCUAAUCCUGUUGAUGUGCGUUUGUUUAAGAAUGCGUAUGCGUCAGUCUAUGUGCGGGAACGCACACACUAGUGCUAUGAAAGUUUGCAGUGCAUUCACACUACACACAUACAAAAAUAUAAUUCAAAUUCAAUAAAAACAAAUAAAACAAUAUAUAAAGUUGUUUAUAUACAUACAUAUGGGUAUAACCCAGCUAACUAGUAGCGUCUCUAGAUAACAAAACACAAAUAUUCGUAUAUUCAGCUGAUGUACGAAUAUAAACAACAUAGCCGUUGCCAUGGUUAAAAUCUACUGCAACCAAUCAUUUAAUCAUAUUUUCAGCAAUAAAGCGUUGAAACAUGAUUUGAAACAAAAAUGUAGCAAGUUUGAAGGACCUACCGGCCACUGCAUCUACAUUCGCAGCCGUUGCCAUGGCGUCACCAAUGUUUGUGUUUGUCCACAUAAAAACUGCGUCUCUAUCCCGAGUGGUGGGUGUUUGUGUGUUCUGAAUAUGUGUGUAUGUAUUCGUGAAAGUCUUUUCAGAAGAAAGAGGCUGAAUAAACAUUUGUAGAGCCAUAACUCUGAUUCAUCUACAUGUGCCACCACAAAUGUGUUGUGUGUGUGUGUGUGUGUGUGUGUGUGUGUGUGUGUGUGUGUGAGGCCAAGAAAAAAAAUACAAAGAAAACUGAAAAAAAAAUACAGAAAAGGCCAAAAUGAUGUGAUCCAUGAGACUGAUGUGACUGAAACGUAUUAGAAAAUUGUGUCAAAGAAAGUUUUUUGUAUGCAUGCAAACAUCUACCUCCAUAAAAGAAAUGUGUGUGGGAGAGAGGAGAUAAAGAGUGUGAAUAUGGAAGCACUGGUCACACUACUGAUAUGUAUAUCACAAAAUAAUCUUAGUCCGUAUAAGGACAGCGAUCUAAAAGACACAUUUCCAUAUAAAUUAAUGUUCUGCACUCAACCCACAGUGAUUCAUUGAGAUGCAUGUUAGACUGUAUAAACACCACUCAAUGGAAAUGACGAAAACCUCUCUCAGCAGUGUAGUGGUAUUUGUGGAGGCGCUUUGCUGUGACCUCAGCAUCCUAUAUGUUUCAGUGGUAAUUAGGGUUAAAACCCAGGGUGCUCUUUAAAUGUAGAAAAAUACUUCUGCUCUUUCUAGAGUUUGAACAAAAGUAAGCGUGUACUAAAUCAGAUGGUAAACAGUGAGUUACAGAAACAGUGUGUUUAUUAUCUUCAGGGAAUAGAAAAAGUAUUUUAAUGUCAAAUUAACACACGCUGCACAAAUUCAAUAUGUUAUUUGUAUCCAAAUCUGCUGUAGCUUGAGAACAGUCAGCCCAGUGUCAACAAACAGUUGGCUUUUGGAUUUGCUAGCAAGCUAACUAGCCAGCAGGCUAACUAUAGUAAACAAUCCAACCAAUAUUGACUGCUAGCCAUGGCAAAUGAUCGCUGUCGACAAGUGCCAAUUUAUGAAUUUGAGAAUCUUGUACACAUUUCACUUGAGCCAUGUAAUUGCACCAAAGUGCCAUGAACACAUCAAGGACCACAAUAUUAAACAUAUUAGACAAAGAUACCACUAGGGGCAAAUCAAAUGAUUAACUGUAUUAAGAUGAUAAAGAGAUACUUAGAGAUCUAAAAUGUGCAACAAAGACAGACUAUUUGCAUAUGUCGCAAUAUAUGUCUGGAGGGGGCAUGUAUUGCGACAUAUGCAAAUAGUCAGUUUGUGUUUUUUUCCACAAAAAAGUACAAAUGCCACAUUUAAGUCCUUAUAAAGGUUACUUCUCCUUCUACCUCAUUAAAAAUUCCAUAAUCUAUGAAUAUGCACAUUUAGUUAAUUUCUGCAGUUUUCCUGCUGGGCACAAGAUGUCCCUCACUUCACCAUUACCAGUGUGUGCACUUAUGGCUUCAAGUUUCUGCAUCACACCUAAUUUGCAUCAGGUUUGACUUACAAACUAUUCAAAUCACAGAUCAUGCUUGUAGGCCCCGCUCUGUAAAAUCCGAUUUUAAGUAAGCUCAGACAAACUUUCCACUUCGAGCAGAUCGAUGUGAAAACGUUUUUAUAUUGUCAAACUCUGCACAUUGAUCAUUCUGCACAGUGUAGCUCAAAGGUCCAACAGUAGAAAGUUUAGAUUUGUGGCUCAGAGUGAAAUAUAUUGGUAACUAUAGAAUGGAUCAUCAUGAAAUGUACUAGAUAUAGUCAAGGCCCAUGGAGGACACAUUCAAAUGACUGAUCUGCAGAAUCUUCCUUCACAGCAGGUCAGAGUUUUCACAUUCAUGUUUCGCAUACACUGCUUUACAAUUGUUUUGGUAACUUGACUUUUCCUCUUGUGCCACCAGCAGGUUGACAGUUUUUAUCCACAGCAAUUGGAUGGGUUGCCCUGAAAUCUGGCGCAUACAUCAAUGGUCCCCAGAGGCCUGCAUAACUUUGAUCCCAUUCUCUUUCAUCUGAUGCCAUCAUCAGGAUGAUGUGAUUAGGAAAAGGAGGCUUCCCUGUGAAAGAUCAUAGCAACACCUUUGAAUUGGAAUCAUUCAGAUAUGUCAAACUAACCUCAACAACUUCAGAAUUCUGCCUUUCACUGUCACUUGGCUUCAACUUCCCAAACAACAUAACUGGCGAGAGGAGAGUGAACUUGCAACUCUUAAGUGUGAAUGUACUUGAAGAGAAGGCUGUUGCAGUUCACCCAGUCCAUUGCAUGCUCAAUUUCAUAAUAUAAUUUCUUCCUAAGGGGAGAACAUCUCUACUUACAAUCAUAGUCAAUAGAACAAACUGUUUUGGAUGUACACUAUGUCAGUUGGUCAGUUGUUGCCUUCAGCAUCAGGAGGAUAAAGCAACUCUUUCUGCAUAAUCAAGAGGGAAAAUCAAAAGCCCCAAAUCAACUAUCAAGACAUACACCGAUGAUGUCAUGAGGAGCCAUUCUAUUGAGUUAAAAUAUAUAUGAACUUCAGGCUCCCAGCUCUGAAUUACAAAAUGUUCCCAUUUGCCAAAUUCACUAUGGGUGCAUUCAGUGUCCAGGCCGCUGUUUCAUUAUUUACAGUUUGUGGAAAAGCUCCAGGAUUUGUCCUUUUGACACUAUCACUACAGUUAGUCAGAAACUGCUUCAUUUUUUAACAAAGCUAAAACUGUGUUGUUUGUAGGUGAAGUGUCCUUUAAAAGAGUUUUAUUUCAGCAUUCUCAAAUCUAUACUGGACUGUUAAAGAUUACGCCAAGAAUGCAUGAAAUCAGGUAGAAAAGAGCAGGAGUUGCUUUGUGAUACUGUUAGGCUUUAUCAAACAACACUGGAUAUGCAUUCGUCAUACAUGUUUGAUGAUCCUCAACAGAUACAUGUAAAGCAACAUACACACUGUGCAUCAGUUGUCUACAAUAAUAGAAUUAUGCAGCAUUAUUGCAGAGAGGCACAAAUGAUUCAAAGUGUAAUUUUAAUUGUAUAUUAAAUAAAGACUGUAAAGUAUAACUAUAACCCAACUAUUGUUAUGAGUUUGAUCACAGAUCUAAUUUAUCUGAAUGUAACUCCUAUUCCAAGCUAAUCUUUAUUUUCUGCUCGAUGCAGCUCUUUCAUCUGCCUCUCACUGGCACUUGAAGAGGCCUUUGGCUUUAGCACCUCGCUGCAGUGCUGCAUCUAAAAUUAUAACUCUCAAAGUGGGCCAAAGAGAUUUAGAUUUCACUGCACCGAUGUGUAGGUGCCCUGAUGCUGGGCUAGAGAGGUCCUCAUGUUAGGCUUCACAUAUCGUGAGAUUGUUUCAUUUAAAUCUUUGACAUAAUCUCACCCAAUCUGAUUUGGAUACAGUGUCUUAGAGUUGUCAGUUUCCUUCCCAGUACUGCUGUUAUUGUCUUCAGUGUCUACAGUGCAAGCUAAAACAUCAUAGCAACAAUAAAAAUAUUUUUUCUUGUU